AAAAAACGCUCUAUAUUUACAUAUAUAUUAUAUAUAUAUAUAUACAUUCAAAAAUGUUUAUUUCAAAACACAUAGUGUCUAUUUUCCUGAGUAUAGGACUUAUAUAUAUUAAGCCAAACCUUUGUUAUAACAGUAGUGAUUUAAUAAAAGCAGCAAAAGUUAAUGAAAUAAAUGUAAAUCCAGGGAGGACUUUAAGAUUUGAUUGCCCAGUACUGGAUAAAGAUAUUGAGAAGGAGAUUCUAAAAAAUGAAGAAUUAAAAGGUAUGUAUGAGGCGAAAUGUUUUAAUAUUGUAUAUAAAGAUAAAAAAUUAUUUUCAUUAGAUAAAUUGAUUCGAGGUGUUUAUAAUUUAAAAAAUACUACAACAGAUAACAUGUAUUCAUCAGAAGUCACGUUGCCACCUUUUGUUAUGGAAAAUACGAAUUUUGAAUGUCAUUGUUUUAUGAAAAAAAAACAAAAUGAUAGUUCAAAUAAUGAAAUAAUGUUAAAAAUAUCAAAAAUAAAGCUAAAUAAUACAAGUAAUCCAAAAUUUGCAGGUUGUGAUUUCGUAUCAGGUGUUGAUAGUAUUUACCAAAUAACAAAAAGUUAUAUUAAUAAACAAAGAGGAGAUGAUAUAUGUGAGGCAGUUCCAAGACAAAACGGGUUCUUAGCCAUAUUGUGUCCUGACAAUUAUUCUAUUCAACCUACAGAUUGUUUUUCAAAAGUGUAUGUUAAAAAAGAAAGUGCUAGAAUUGCUGAUAAUAAAAAUAUAAUUAAUAGACAAAUUCGUCGUAAAUGUCCUCAACAAGAUGAAAAAAAAUGGAUUGAAAAAGAUCAUGAUUUGGUCGAUAUUAAAAAUGUAUUAUCAGGCUAUUCCGAAGCAUAUGGUGAUCAUAAAAGUAGAUUUUUAAGAAUAUAUGAUAAUGAUGUGGACGCUCAUUUCUCUUGUUAUUGUCAACCGAAUAGUGGUAACAAACGUUUAGUAAUGAAUGUAUGUUUAUCUCAGUAUGCGCUUAACUAUGAAGGGUUUAUCUAUGAUAGGCUUUAUAAUGAACCAAAUGACAUAAUACCAGUAAAUGAUAAUGUACCAGAAAAAGAUAAUCCACCAAAAAGUGAUAAUGUAUCAGGAAGUGAUAUUGUAUCACGGAGUGAUGAUAUAAAACGUAAUAUAAGUCCACAAAUACCAACACAAAAUCUUAAAAUGUCGAAUUAUAGAGCAGAAGAAAUGCGUAGACCACAGCCAGGUGUAUCAAUAACGCUUCCUAAAAUUUCAACACAUAAAACAAAUGGUAGACCUAAUACAAUAACACAUGUGGUAGAAGAAAGUCAUGAAGUAAUAAGACAUUCAACAGGAAGUUCAUAUAUGUAUGCCUUAAGUUUGAUUUAUACUUUAUGUUUUUUUAUUU
rnacentral:lncRNA from 1 species